rnacentral:lncRNA from 1 species
CAUCUUCAGAGUCUUCAAUUCUCAUAUCAAUGUGCCUUUUAGAGAAAUUUCGAAAGCAUAAUAGUAACAUCACCCCGCCAUGCCAAACAUAACCCUCCUCUAGAACCAUUAGAGUCAACAUUAAUGCUAUUAACAAAACCACAACUUCGUCGAACUCUUCCCAUCUGAGUCUUACUAAUCUUUGCAUCCAUAAAAAAGACCAUCUAGAGAUUAUAUAUCUUCAGCUUAUACCGAAGUUGUCGCACUGUUCGUGGAUUCCCC